rnacentral:rRNA from 1 species
AUUGAACGCUGGCGGCAUGCUUUACACAUGCAAGUCGAACGGUAACGCGGGGGCAACCCUGGCGACGAGUGGCGAACGGGUGAGUAAUACAUCGGAACGUGUCCUGGAGUGGGGGAUAGCUCGGCGAAAGCCGGAUUAAUACCGCAUACGCUCUGAGGAGGAAAGCGAGGGACCUUCGGGCCUCGCGCUGCGGGAGCGGC